UGACCUUUUUUCUACCUACAGAUUCGAAAUGAGAAGGCACGAAGAUAUUUAAGUAGCGUGAAAAGGAAAGCACCUGUUCCUCUCUCACAAAAGUUUCCAAAUGUUGAUCCACUGGCUCUUCGUUUACUUGAACGUUUGAUAGCAUUUGAUCCCAAAGAUCGUCCAUCUGCUGAAGAGGUGAGAUUUAGUAAAUCAAAUAUGUUGUUUCACAUUUCCUUCAGUUGAUAAAUGCAAUAUCAGUAUUUAGGACGGGUUCAUUGAUACUAUCAAUUAUUUCUAACUGCAGGCAUUGGCAGAUCCAUAUUUUUAUGGUUUGGCAAAUGUCAAAGAUGAAUCAUCAACUCAACCAAUUUCAAAAUUUGAGUUUGAAUUUGAAAGGAGAAAUUUAACAAAAGAUGAUGUAAGAGAGCUAAUCUACAGGGCGGUAUGAACAUUGCUAGUGAUCUUUAGGCCAAUAUGGUAUAUCUGUGUUAGCUGUUAGCUAUUACUUACAUUGUAUCUUAACGAAGCAAACAGAUCUUGGAGUAUCAUCCCCAGAUGCUCCAGGAAUACCUCCGUGGCGUGGACCAGACUCACUUUAUGUAUCCAAGGUUUGACAAUCAAAAGAAUUCUCCUCAACUUCUAGUUUGAUACAAGACAUUUUUGAGACGUUGCUUAAUCAAAUACAACAUAAAUUUUCUGUUCUCAUUUUUCUAAUGUAUCCAUUUAUAACUAAUCAAUAUAUCUUUUUCACCAAAUCUCCAAUACUUUUUCGAUCCAAG
rnacentral:lncRNA from 1 species